rnacentral:lncRNA from 1 species
AUUGAGUUAAUUAGUGAUCAAAUCACUAAUUAAACCUCUCAUAAAUAUUGAGUCCAAAUCUGAUAGGCAAUCGGAUAUCAAAGUCCAUCAAUAUGAAACCUUGAUCGUAAAGUCUCAAACCAGUGGGACUCUUGACCCCGAUACCCAAAAUGUGUGGGACUUGUGAUCAGAGAAUCCUGAUUCUCGAUCACAAAGUCCCAGACAUGUAGGACUCAUAGUCCAUGAAUAUUAGGACUCUUCAUCAGCCAUCAGAUCAGAUAGGAACCUCUAAUGUGUGUGACCCCACAGGUUCGAACCUAAGCCGGUAGCACAGGAAUCAAUUCCUGUACUAAUUGAAGUGACCAUCUAGCAA